rnacentral:rRNA from 1 species
UACGGAGGGGGCUAGCGUUGUUCGGAAUUACUGGGCGUAAAGCGCACGUAGGCGGCUUGGUAAGUUAGAGGUGAAAGCCUGGAGCUCAACUCCAGAAUUGCCUUUAAGACUGCCGAGCUAGCAGGUGAGAGAGGUGAGUGGAAUUCCGAGUGUAGAGGUGAAAUUCGUAGAUAUUCGGAAGAACACCAGUGGCGAAGGCAGCCCCCUGGGAUAAUACUGACGCUCAUGCACGAAAGCGUGGGGAGCAAACAGG